rnacentral:misc_RNA from 1 species
AAGUCGUAACAAGGUUUCCGUAGGUGAACCUGCGGAAGGAUCAUUAACACGUUCCAAACGUAUCAACCAAACCGCGAACUUUGACGUUAGGCCUUGCUUCCUGGAGUGGGCACGUCCCUUCCAUGCUGCAUUGCCGCCGAACUUGCUAGGGGAUUGGUGAGUGGGUACGUCCCUUCACCACCUUUAGCAUUUGUUCUAUUAACCCAAACCCAUUUUUAUUAUCUAUUCUUCUGCUUAAAGGACGUGGCGUUUUAUCGCUAUUGUCUCUUUACUGCAAACUUGUACAACUCUUAACAACGGAUAUCUAGGCUCUC